GAUGAACGCUAGCGGCAGGCCUAACACAUGCAAGUCGAGGGGUAGAAGUCUUCGGGCUUUGAGACCGGCGCACGGGUGCGUAACGCGUAUGCAAUCUGCCUUACACUAAGGGAUAGCCCAGAGAAAUUUGGAUUAAUACCUUAUAGUAUAUUUUGUGGCAUCACAGGAUUAUUAAAGAUUUAUCGGUGUAAGAUGAGCAUGCGUCCCAUUAGCUAGUUGGUAUGGUAACGGCAUACCAAGGCAAUGAUGGGUAGGGGUCCUGAGAGGGAGAUCCCCCACACUGGUACUGAGACACGGACCAGACUCCUACUGGAGGCAGCAGUGAGGAAUAUUGGACAAUGGGCGCAAGCCUGAUCCAGCCAUGCCGCGUGCAGGAUGAAGCAUCUAUGGUGUGUAAACUGCUUUUAUACAGGAAGAAACCCCUUUACGUGUAGAGGAUUGACGGUACUGUAGGAAUAAGGAUCGGCUAACUCCGUGCCAGCCGCCGCGGUAAAAC
rnacentral:rRNA from 1 species